CUACGUAGGGGGCUAGCGUUAUCCGGAAUUACUGGGCGUAAAGGGUGCGUAGGUGGUUUCUUAAGUCAGAAGUGAAAGGCUACGGCUCAACCGUAGUAAGCUUUUGAAACUAAGAGACUUGAGUGCAGGAGAGGAGAGUAGAAUUCCUAGUGUAGCGGUGAAAUGCGUAGAUAUUAGGAGGAAUACCAGUUGCGAAGGCGGCUCUCUGGACUGUAACUGACACUGAGGCACGAAAGCGUGGGGAGCAAACAGGAUUAGAUACCCUGGUAGUCCACGCCGUAAACGAUGAGUACUAGCUGUCGGGGGUUACCCCCCUCGGUGGCGCAGCUAACGCAUUAAGUACUCCGCCUGGGAAGUACGCUCGCAAGAGUGAAACUCAAAUGAAUUGACGGGG
rnacentral:rRNA from 1 species